AUUCGUUUUCUAAUUUUCAAAUUCGUUGAAAAAGUUGGCUUAAAAAACGGAUCGGUAUAAAAUAUAAAAUAAUCUAUAUUUAAACAUAUAAAUUUUUUAUUCAGGUUUUUAAUAAUUUGGGAAUAAUUCGCAAAUUAUUCACGAAUAAUUUGGUUUGCCCAAAAAUUCGUGAAUAAUUUCGUUUCUUUGGAAAAAAAUUCGUAAACGGACCGUUUAAUUCGGAUUUUUAAUAAUUCGCGAAUGAUUCGCGAAUAAUUCGCGGAUUAACUAACAAAGUUCGG
rnacentral:lncRNA from 1 species